GUGGGGAAUAUUGCGCAAUGGGCGAAAGCCUGACGCAGCGACGCCGCGUGGGGGAUGAAGCUUCUCGGAGUGUAAACCCCUUUCGACCCGGACGAAUGGCCCGCAAGGGCUUGACGGUACGGGUAUAAGAAGCCCCGGCUAACUACGUGCCAGCAGCCGCGGUAAGACGUGGGGGGCCAGCGUUGCUCGGAAUUACUGGGCGUAAAGGGUUCGUAGGCGGUGUGGCAAGUCGGAAGUGAAAUCUCCAGGCUUAACUUGGAGGCUGCUCCCGAAACUGCCAUGCUAGAGUGCGGGAGAGGCGAGUGGAAUUGCAGGUGUAGCGGUGAAAUGCGUAGAUAUCUGCAGGAACACCCGUGGCGAAGGCGGCUCGCUGGACCGCAACUGACGCUGAGGAACGAAAGCUAGGGGAGCAAACAGGAUUAGAAACCCGAGUAGUCC
rnacentral:rRNA from 1 species